CAGGCCUUCUCAAUGGUUUGGAAUAGACACUGCUAACAAGAGUAUUAGUAGUAAACUAAGAAGAACAGAGAAAUUGAAUGAAAAGUGAGAACAUGGAGAGAGGCAAAAUGUGCAGGUCUGUGAACUGGAGAUUGGCACUUGCCAUCUGCCUCUGCACAGAUUGACUCAUGAGCUGCUGCAGCUGCUGUCCCUCUACACCCCUGAAAGGAGCUCAGGGCGGAGAUCAGGGGUGAGUCACUCUGUGCUCUGGGAAAACCGGCAGAACAGGUCUCCAGAUAGAUAUUUUCAGGAUGAGAUUUUAUAAACCCAAUUCUUGCAUCUCCUCAUAUCUAGCAAAGUACUGACAUCCUUCAUGGUGACGUCUGCUCCUCGUGAUUAGCAGUAACAUUCACUCGGAGACCAGCAGUGACCUGUAAAAUGAGUGCUUGGUGUCAUGUACCUCCCCCCUUCACCAAAACCACAUAUAUACCAAUAUUUCCACCUACAUCUUUGGAGCGAUAUUUCAGAGCUAUUUGAAAUGCUGCCUCCUAGGCUAUAGUCCUCAUUUUGCCCCCAAGAAAACUUAACUCUUAGCUUUUAUGUUGUGCUUUUUUUUUUUAGUUGACAGGUCCUGUUUUGAUUAAUACGAUACAAAUUUAUGUAAGGCAAUUUAUAGAAAUGUUUAGUCAAAAUGUAUGUUUAGCAACGAACUCUAAAGAUAGUUCUAAGAAGAAAGAGGUAAAAUGGAGGUUGUCAGUGGCAUUAAAAAUUAUUUAAAAGCAGGAGUUCCCUGGUGACUCAGCAGGUUAAGAUCCAGUGUUGUCAGGGCUGUGGCUUGAAUCACUGCCGUGGCACAGGUUCGAUCCCUGGCCUGGGAACUUCCACAUUAUAUGGGUGUGGCCAUGUCACAAAAAUAAAUAGAUAAAUAAAAAUUAUAUACAAUGGUUAUUUUAAAUUUGAAAAAGUGGAAAGGACUACUGCAUACUGUCCUUGAAAAACAGCUUUUGGUAUUCUGAAUACCAAGAAAACUCAAUUUCAAGACAAACUUUACUAUCUAGCUGAUGAUCGUAGGCAAGUCACUCUGCCUCACUGGGUCUGCCUUGACUCAGUUGUUCUGUGUUAGUCAAAUAUGGCUUUGAAUAAUCAGGAAAGAGUAUUUUGUAAUUGUGAAAGUCUCUGAAUUUUGUUUAGGAGUGAUAAUUACUUGCAUAAAGACUUGCCAAAAUUCCAGUCAUUUGAAAUUUGGUUAUUUGAGUUUCGGCACAAACAGGGGAGUACCUGCUAAUUCAGAUAUUUUGCACUAAUUUUUAAAAGAUGCACUCCUCGGGGUUGCCGUUGCGGCUCAGCGGGUUAAGAACCCAACAUAGUAUCCAUGAGGAUGUGGGUUCCAUCCCUAGCUGCAAGUUAAGGAUCCAGCAUUGCUGAAAGCUGUGGGGUAGGUCUCAGAGGCAGCUCGGAUUUGGUGUUGCUGUGGCUGUGGUGUAGGCCGGCAUCUGCAGCUCCAAUUUGACCCCUAGUCUGGGAACUUCCAUAUGCCACAGAUGCAGCCCUAAAAAGAAAAAUAAAUGAAUAAAAUAUGCAGUCCUCAUAAAAACCUGAGGUAGGUAUCACGAUGUGCAUACACCACCUUGCAGACAGCCCGCAACUUGUAAGUAGCAGUAAGUGGUCAACCUAGGUCAGUGUCCAAUCCCCAUGCUCUUGCAUUAUACCACAUUAGGCACCCAAUUUUUUAUUGUAUAAAAAUAAAAGGAACGUUUCCUAUUCUCCAAAACUUGUUCAAUCUGACAUUAUCGUGAACUUUUACUUCUCUCUGCAGAUUAUCCCUUGAGAAACUGUAGCAGGCCAAGAAACAUUUCUAUUAUUUAACAAGUAUUUCUUUCAUUAGUGAAAACUUCAAAGUCAAGAAGCUAAACAGUCUGGCAGAGCUCCCAAACCACAAGGCAAGAUCUCUCCUCUUUCUGCGAGUCGAGUCCUUUUUAACUUCCUUUGUUUGAAAUGAGAGCAACUACCACCCAAAUAGGUCCCUAGCUCACAAGGGUGUACUGUGGGAUGUGAGAGGGGCUGAACAGUCCUGGAAAGUGGGGGAAUGAUUCAAGGGAAGAGAAACUGACACAGGAGUGGCUUUAAGAAAAGAGGAAACAGUUUCUGUAGCUGCUGAUAAAACUUUCACAUGCCCAGUCAAAAUACAUAUGCCACACAAACUCAGUACUAAUUUCCCAUAACUUAUUUUUCUCUUUACUUCAAUCUUUUCUUAUAUAAAUGAAGGGUUUGAAAGAAAGGAGAGGAUGUUUUUAUAUGGGAAAGAGCUUUAAAUCUUUGGUGUCUUGCUUCCUUCUCUCUAAAAGUGGAGAAUUAGACUAAGUUUAUUCUUUUGGUUUGGUAUGCUGAAAUCACAGUUUUAGAUUUAGAAAUUUAUUUUAGCUGGCAAUUUAUAAAACAUUUUCAAACAUUUUACAUUUUUAGGAAUAGACAAAAAUAGGCCUUUUUCUUCCAAGCAUGGAAAGCAGCAAGCACCUCUUGGUUUUCCUGACAAAUGAAUAUAGUUAUGUAAUUUAAUAGUGUUAUUAGAAUUGCCUACUUCUAGAAUGGAAACAUCAACAUCUCUGGAAUGGGGCGAGGAAAACAAAGGAGGUUUAGCUCAAAGAAAAUGUAACCAGAUCAAGAGAAAAACAAUGCGGGAACUCUUCUCAAUUACAUUUGCUUAAAAAAUUAAUACUUUAAAAAACUAGAUAAAACAAUCAUAGUUUAGGAACUAUUUUACCAUUGUUAGCUUUGCUAAUAACCUAAACAUGUCCACCAGCUCUGCAUCCUAUCUCUCCCCACUCUGACAAGUUUCCCCAAAUUUCUAAGUCUGCAUAUUUAGCACAGUCCACCUACCCCUAUCCCCCAACUUCUACUAAAGGAAAGGGAAAAGAGAAAGAAUUCGAAUUGUCUUUCUCAGCUUUUGGGGACUAAGUCCUAACUUUUAUCCAGCAGCAUCCCUGUUAACUAGCAAUUACCUGUUGAAUAAAUGAGCUGACAUCUCUUCAACCUGAAAUAUCUGGUACAAGCUUUCUUCCCCAGUGGAAAACUGAGAGCCCAGUCUAAUCCUCAGCUUUCUGCUUUUGCGCUAAGAUACUUGCUUUCAUGCACAGGGAGUUUUCUCUGCUUAUAGGAAAGGAAUAAGGACAAAGCUCGCUCUCUUGCUGUAAUUGUCAAGCUGAAGCCUUUCUUCUCCCCUUGGAACUUUCUUUUACUCCUCAGCUAUAAAUGAUUUAUUUCUCCUGAGAAAAGACUUAACAUUUAACAGGACUUUUUAGUGAUUUCACAUCAAUCCUCCUUUCGAACAGAUAUAUGUAGUCUUCAUUAAUAAUGCAAGAAAAUCAAAUAGAAAAAUGAACCAGGAAAGUCAAUUAGCAGUUUAAGUGAAAUAAAAAUAUUUUACUUCUUACCAAUUAAUUCAAAUGCAUAUUAAAAUGAGAUAUCAAAUUUUACCUAUAAAAGAGAUGGAGUAUGAAUAAAUAGACUGAUCAUGUCCACAUUGAAUGAUGAUGUGGGAAGAUAGGCACGUUGCUGCAUUGUUGAUAGGCACAGCAAUGGAAUUAGUCUUCUUUAAGAGCAGUUGAGGAGGAGUUCCCGUCGUGGUGCAGUGGUUAACGAAUCCGACUAGGAACCAUGAGGUUGCGGGUUCGGUCCCUGCCCUUGCUUAGUGGGUUACCGAUCCGGCGUUGCCGUGAGCUGUGGUGUAGGUUGCAGACGUGGCUUGGAUCCCUCAUUGCUGUGGCUCUGGCGUAGGCUGGUGGCUACAGCUCUGAUUCGACCCCUAGCCUGGGAACCUCCAUAUGCCGCUGGAGCGGCCCAAGAAAU
rnacentral:lncRNA from 1 species